CCUGCUCUGACCAAAGAUGUGCUCCCGUGCUGACAGAGGCUGCCACAGCUCUGAGAGCUCCUCCUGCCACAGCGGCCGUUCCUCCUGCCAUGGCUCCGAGGAGGUCACCUGCCAUGAAGUGAGAGCUGUGCAGGACGAGACCCCCGUGGUGGUCCUCCAGCCUCAGGUCCCCGUGGUCACCGUGCCUGCUCAGGGCCCUGUGGCUCCCGUCCCAUGCCAGCAGCAGCAGCAGCAGAUCAAGCAGCCUGUGCAAUGGCCCACGCAGCAGCAGAAGUGAAGGGGCUGUGCUCAUCCCUCACCUCUGCAGGGCACAGCCCUGAGCAGGAGAAGCUCCUGCCCCUUCUCUCCAGCACGUAUUGCCUCUCCUGAUGCUGUGACGUGGCAUUGGCACAUCAGAAAUGUGAUUUGCCUUCUUGCAUUUGUAUCCGUUAUUCUCCUGCUUCUGUAUCCAGUAGCAAAGACGUGAUAUUAAAAUGUAAA